rnacentral:rRNA from 1 species
UACGAAGGGGGCUAGCGUUGCUCGGAAUGACUGGGCGUAAAGAGCUCGUAGGCGGCUUGUCGCGUCGUCCGUGAAAACCUGCAGCUCAACUGCAGGCUUGCGGUCGAUACGGGCAGGCUAGAGUUCGGUAGGGGAGACUGGAAUUCCUGGUGUAGCGGUGAAAUGCGCAGAUAUCAGGAAGAACACCCGUGGCGAAGGCGGCUCUCUGGGACGGUACUGACGCUGAGACGCGAAAGCGUGGGGAGCGAACAGG